rnacentral:rRNA from 1 species
UACAGAGGGUGCGAGCGUUAAUCGGAGUUACUGGGCGUAAAGGGCGCGUAGGCGGUUAUAUAAGUGAGAUGUGAAAUCCCUGGGCUUAACCUAGGAACUGCAUCUCAUACUGUAUGACUGGAGUAUUGUAGAGGGUAGUGGAAAUUUCCGGUGUAGCGGUGAAAUGCGUAGAGAUCGGAAGGAACACCAGUGGCGAAGGCGGCUACCUGGACAAAUACUGACGCUGAGGCGCGAGAGCGUGGGAGCAACAGGA